rnacentral:lncRNA from 1 species
AUGGCAGCAGGCGCUGCGGGCACGCGCCCAGCCCGGCACAGGUGCAGCGAGAGGCGCGAGCCGGGCCGCCCGUCCUCACCUCGGAUGGGGCUGCAGCCGAAGGGGGAACAUCUCCGCUUGGAGACCGCCUCCUUUUGGGGUUUCCAGCGAGCCCUGCUGCUCAGACAGGGAUUGACCUGUGGUGGACUCCACUGUGUUUACUGCCAAUUUGGGAUGAUGCAUUGCUGCACAGUGCUACCAAUAAAUGGGAGGUUUGAGGUAGCAGGAAAAGAACAGAAUGGUGCAAAACUAUACUCAGACUGCAGUGCUUACCAGUGUGUUUGCCAGGCAGAAGGAGGCUUAAUUCCUUCUCAUAAGAAUAACUGCACUGCGAUGGUGGAAAUGACUGUGAACUUCAGAAUUCGAGGAGGCUGUUCUAAAAAAGGCUGGGAAAAGUGUGAAAAUGCUCUAAAAGUACAGCUGGUCAUCCUAAGUACAAAUGAGAGAUCUACAAGGUGUUGUUCCACCAGAGGAAGAUCCUGUACUCUGCAGACCCACUAUAGACCUGACUGUAGCAGAAGGGGAGCAGCCUAUCUACUUACAGAUCAAUUCCAAAAGGGUGAAGUUUGCCUCGUGCGUUCCCCUGUGCAUCCACCACUGCUUCAUUGAUGUCCUGGAAACUAAGCCUAUAGUUGAGUAUGCCAUCUGGUAGGAGCUACAGCAGAAGCAGUUGCUCUCGCAGAUUUCCAUCAGGCCUAGGUGUUACCCUUUCUGUGGAGGCAGCUCACUGCACCAGUUUUUUUCUGUGACAAAUUCUGGUUGUCUCAAAGGAAAGAGCAACUGAUUGCAUGUAAUGGAAUGAAUGAAAAAUAAAACACUUUUGCUUGAAUGAAUUGCG